GCAACUUUUCUCAGUGAACAGUGUCUACAAAAUAGAGGAUGAGUCCUGUUCAUCAGCAUAGACAUUCGCUUUAUGACAUAUGGAUAAACUCUUUUUCUUUCUAGAAUAAGCUGACAGCUGAUGAGUCUGCAUUCACAUGUAUGUUGAGCAGAGGAAGAGCUGUCUGGCAAUCAUUUUUUCCAUCCAGAGUCAUCACACUAACCAUCACAGUUUCAGUAACUGCUACCCUACCUGUGUCCACGUGUCGGCGCAUGUGCGGACCACCGAUCCUGUUAGAAACUCGGUAUUCGCCUGUCGUUUCACCAGUUGUCCGCUGAAUGCUGCUGAAUCCCACGAUGCCAGAGGAAUUUUAAACUUUAUGGGGAACUAAAGUACCACCUCGGUUGAGGUUCCAAGUGAACUGUACUUACCAAAAUGUGACAUGUAAACUCUGCUGAUCACGGAUUGGCCGGAGAGAAUCGUCACUACCUGUCACUGAACUUGCACACAAACACAAAAGAACCGCUAGAUUUAAAUCACCACAGCCAGCGAAGGAUCGAACGCAACUGUUUUGAACAAGCGCACUUUAUUUUAACAACCAAAAAGUUUUGUUGUCUGUUGCGGAAGUACAGAUGUUCCUCUCGUUGAUGGCAGAGGAGCGGAUCCAGCGAGUGCUUGAUGGGGCGACGUGGAAUGAAAACGUACUCGGUUACGAACAUAACCUCGGUUCCCUGAGAUACGGAACGAGUACUGCAUAUGGGGAAAAGCUCCUUUUUCCUCGAUACUGAAGCCUUUUUCAAUAAUGCAACUGCACUGCCAUUGGUUUAAUCUGUAAACUUUUUUAAACCAAUGACAGCGCUGCGUAGCUGCACGAGCCUGUGGCGAUGCAGCACGCCAAAGCCCGUCAAAAUGGGCGGGGCGAAUGGCUAUAUAAGCAGGCAAAUCGCCAGAGGAAAUCAGGUCAUAUGACUGAAGCGACAACACUGAAGCCACAGCCUCGUGGCACGGCAUAUAACGCAGUACUCGUUCCGUAUCUCAGGGAACCGAGGUUACAUUUGUAACCGAGUACGUUCCCUUUCGAUACUUCACUCAUACUGCGUAUGGGGAACGAAUUCAACCACCCGUGCCACGGUAGGGAAUGACAAGACUUAUCUUGAACACCCUGGGGUCCAGGGGAUAAGUGAGAGGGCCGGAGCCAUCGAACCCUUGACACUACACUGCUAAGAGGGAGCUAGCUCCCUGGAGGUGGUAUGAUGACAGAGUCUGAUAGAGGCCGUCGUAUCAAACCAAAAGAACCAGAGCGUGCAAGGUCGGGAUGUCCAGGUUAUAGAAUCUGACAAAAGUGGAUGGCGAGGACCAACCGGCCGCCUCACAGAUGUCCUUGAUAGAGACACCACUAGACCAGGCCCAUGAAGAGGCCAUCCCUCUAGUGGAGUGGGCUCUUACUCCUAUGGGGCCCUCAAGGCCCAUAGAGGAGUAACAUAGAGCGAUAGCUUCAACUGUCCAAUGCGAGAGGCGUUGCUUUGAGACCGAAGACCCCUUGGUGCGGCCACCAAAGCAGACAAAAAAGCUGGUCAGAUUGCCUGAACGGCUGUGACCGCUCAAUGUAUAUCCUCAAAGCCCUCACUGGGCAGAGUAAAUCCAGCUCUCGCUCACCUGACAAUGGAGGCAGAGCUGAGAGGGAAAUUACCUGUGCUCUGAACGGCGUCGAGAGCACUUUAGGGACGUAGCCAUGCCUGGGAUUUAAAAUGACCUUCGAGUCAUUGGGCCCAAACUCAAGGCAUGCAGGGCUCACCGAGAGGGCCUGCAAAUCACCAA
rnacentral:lncRNA from 1 species